rnacentral:lncRNA from 1 species
CUUAAUCUGAAAGCUAAAAACAAAAAGGCGAAGGAGGAUCUUCUGGCAUUGGGAUGAUCUUACGACAGAGUUUCUGCAGCAGAGAUGAAGAUAAAAUGCAAAGUAAAGGCUUGAUUGAAAGUGAUCCUAUAUAUAUAGGAUCCCUCAACGACCAAGAUGAAAGAGAUCAAAUCAAAGUCUUAUCAAAUGAUGACACAUGGCAAUAUCCAAACCAAUCAU